CCUGGCUCAGAUUGAACGCUGGCGGCAUGCCUUACACAUGCAAGUCGAACGGCAGCGGACCUUCGGGUGCCGGCGAGUGGCGAACGGGUGAGUAAUAUAUCGGAACGUACCUUUCAGUGGGGGAUAACGUAGCGAAAGUUACGCUAAUACCGCAUAUUCUGUGAGCAGGAAAGCAGGGGAUCGCAAGACCUUGCGCUGAUUGAGCGGCCGAUACCAGAUUAGCUAGUUGGUGAGGUAAAGGCUCACCAAGGCGACGAUCUGUAGCGGGUCUGAGAGGAUGAUCCGCCACACUGGAACUGAGACACGGUCCAGACUCCUACGGGAGGCAGCAGUGGGGAAUUUUGGACAAUGGGCGCAAGCCUGAUCCAGCCAUGCCGCGUGAGUGAAGAAGGCCUUCGGGUUGUAAAGCUCUUUCGGCCGGGAAGAAAUCGCACAGGUUAAUACCCUGUGUGGAUGACGGUACCGGAAUAAGAAGCACCGGCUAACUACGUG
rnacentral:rRNA from 1 species